UACAGAGGCCCCAAGCGUUACUGAGAAUCACUGGGUUUAAAGGGUGCGUAGGUGGCGCGUUAAGUCCGUUGUGAAAUCCCUGGGCUCAACCCAGGAAUUGCUUCGGAUACUGGCGUGCUUGAGGCCGGUAGGGGUCACUGGAAUUCCUGGUGUAGCGGUGAAAUGCGCAGAUAUCAGGAGGAACACCGGUGGCGAAGGCGGGUCUCUGGGCCGAUACUGACGCUGAGGAGCGAAAGCGUGGGGAGCAAACAGG
rnacentral:rRNA from 1 species